ACAACGAAUUCCCACUGGAUAGUGAAUACUCCAUGCUGACGUAUAUCCUAGAAACCACACAUGGAUGUCUUUGAACAAAGCCUUGGGGAAGACAGGACGAAGAAAACAAAUAAAUCCAGUAAUGGAAUUCUACUGGGUUACCUGAGAGCCUUUUGAGAUGUUGUCUCCUGCCCAGUGAUCUGGCAGUCAGCCGUAAUGACUUACACUACUAAAGAUCACUUUUUUUACAAACAUUUUGAAGAAAGGUUGCCAACUUGCAAACAAGCAUGAUGAAUAUUUAAAUGUGAAAAAGCCUGAAGAAUGUUCCUGUGCAGCUUGGACUGUAUUUUCUGAUGUACAGUAUGAUGGUAAUAAAGAAC
rnacentral:lncRNA from 1 species